rnacentral:rRNA from 1 species
CGGAGGGUGCAAGCGUUAUCCGGAUUCACUGGGUUUAAAGGGUGCGUAGGUGGGUUGGUAAGUCAGUGGUGAAAUCUCCAGGCUUAACUUGGAAACUGCCAUUGAUACUAUCAAUCUUGAAUACCGUGGAGGUCAGCGGAAUAUGUCAUGUAGCGGUGAAAUGCUUAGAUAUGACAUAGAACACCAAUUGCGAAGGCAGCUGGCUACACGAAUAUUGACACUGAUGCACGAAAGCGUGGGGAUCAAACAGGAUUAGAUACCCUGGUAGUCCACGCCCUAAACGAUGGAUACUCGACAUACGCGAUAUACAGUGUGUGUCUGAGCGAAAGCAUUAAGUAUCCCACCUGGGAAGUACGAUCGCAAGAUUG